GGGAAAAAAUUUUGAUGAAAGAUGGUCUCGCGGCCUAUCAGCUAGUUGGUGAGGUAAUGGCUCACCAAGGCGACGACGGGUAGCCGGCCUGAGAGGGCGACCGGCCACACUGGGACUGAGACACGGCCCAGACUCCUACGGGAGGCAGCAGUGGGGAAUAUUGGGCAAUGGGCGCAAGCCUGACCCAGCGACGCCGCGUGAGGGAUGAAGGCCUUCGGGUUUGUAAACCUCUUUCAGUAGGGAAGAAGCGAAAGUGACGGUACCUAAAGAAGAGAGCACCGGCUAACUAUGUGCCAGCAGCCGCGGUAAUACAUAGGGUGCAAGCGUUGUCCGGAAUUAUUGGGCGUAAAGAGCUCGUAGGUCGUUUGCCACGUCGAUUGUGAAAAUCUGAGGCUCAACCUCAGACCUGCAGUCGAUACGGGCAAACUAGAGUGUGGUAGGGGAGACUGGAAUUCCUGGUGUAGCGGUGGAAUGCGCAGAUAUCAGGAGGAACACCAAUGGCGAAGGCAGGUCUCUGGGCCAUAACUGACACUGAGGAGCGAAAGUGCGGGGAGCGAACAGGAUUAGAUACCCUGGUAGUCCGCACCGUAAACGGUGGGCACUAGUUGUGGGAACCUUCCACGGUUUCCGCGACGCAGCAAACGCAUUAAGUGCCCCGCCUGGGGAGUACGAUCGCAAGAUUAAAACUCAAAGGAAUUGACGGGGCCCCGCACAAGCAGCGGAGCAUGCGGCUUAAUUCGACGCAACGCGAAGAACCUUACCAAGGCUUGACAUAUAGCGAAAAGUGGCAGAGAUGUCAUGUCCGCAAGGGCGCUAUACAGGUGGUGCAUGGUUGUCGUCAGCUCGUGUCGUGAGAUGUUGGGUUAAGUCCCGCAACGAGCGCAACCCUCGUUCUGUGUUACCAGCAUUUAGUUGGGGACUCACAGGAGACUGCCGGGGUCAACUCGGAGGAAGGUGGGGAUGACGUCAAAUCAUCAUGCCCCUUAUGUCUUGGGCUGCACGCAUGCUACAAUGGCCGGUACAAAGUGCUGCGAGAUCGUAAGAUUGAGCGAAUCACAUAAAGCCGGUCUCAGUUCGGAUUGAGGUCUGCAACUCGACCUCAUGAAGUCGGAGUUGCUAGUAAUCGUAGAUCAGCAACGCUACGGUGAAUACGUUCCCGGGGCUUGUACACACCGCCCGUCACGUCACGAAAGUCGGUAACACCCAAAGUCAGUGGCCCAACC
rnacentral:rRNA from 1 species